CUGAGCCGUAGAAAGAGAACUGGAAGCCUGUGUUCUGACUGCGAGCAGCGCAGCUUUCUUGGCUAUGGGGAGCAGUGGGUAAUUGGAGCAGGCGGAACAGAGGCAGAAGGAAAUGGCGAGCCCAGAUCUCAGGUGCCAGCUCAGGAAGAAGACAGUUCCUGGCAGACAACCUCAACAGAGCAGAAAAACCGCAAGCCAGAGAGACCCACCGCGUCUACAGCCUCAUUAGCACUGCGGAGCCACAUGCAUGCUGCAGGUUGUCACUCGCACUUUACUAAGCCCGAGGCCUGAAAUAAAUUAGUCUGUGUCUCGGAAAAACAAGGACAUGUUGCUCAUAUGAAGAAUUGAGUAUUUGUGUGGAUUAAGAUGCCUCGUGCCAGUCUGUGGGUCAGCUCUUUUCUCAGGACACUGUCUCCCUCACCCUCCACCCAGACCCACCUGAACAUCUUGGCCCUGCUCGGUUGCUUUCCAGUGGGAACUGGCCACCUACCUAUCAGAGCCAAGCACUGAGGCUCCAGGUCAACAGGACCAGCCAGAGACAUUCCUUGAAGAUGGGGGUGGGGGAUGGGGAGUGGGGGGCUUGGUUUGGGAGCCUGUCCUGUUUAGCCUACAGUUAAAACCCAAAUGCCCAGCCCAUCCUUACUUAGCCGGUUCAUACUAUCUGCCUUUCAAAAGACUAACAGCAUUUCAUCUUGUAGGCUUCAACAUCCUUCUUCCAAGAAGCCUAUCCCAACCUGCCUUAUGUGCCCCAAGAAAAAAAUAGGCAAUCCUGCUGUGAGGUUCAGUAACUAGCCAGGCAUGGUGCUACAUGCCUGUAAUCCCAGCACUCAGUUGGUAGAGGUAAAAAGAUCAUUGAGUUCAAUGUCAUCUUAAGCUACAUAGUGAUUUGGAGGCUACUCCUUUGAGGUGCCUCAAAGGAACCAGGGCUGGAGAGAUGGUCAGCGGUUAAGAGCACCUGUUGCUCUUGCAGAGGACACAGUUUGAUUCCCACAUAGGGGCUCAAAACCCCCUGGAACUCUAGUUUCACGGGGUAUGGCUCCCAGUUCGGACCUCUGUGGGAUCAGCUACACACGUGGUGCGAACACACACAUGCAGGUGAAACAGUCACUCACAUGGAAGUAUAAUAAAGAAGCCCGGUGCGGUGGGGCACGCCUGGAAUCCCAGCACUCAGGGAGGCAGCGGCGGGCGGAUCACUGUGAGUUUGAGUCCAGCUUGGUCUACAAAGUGAGUCCAGGACACCCAAGUCUACACAGAGAAACCCUAUCUCAAAAAACAGAAACAGAAACAAAAAAAAAAAAAAAGUACAAAAAAUAAAUCUAAAUUAAAAAAAAUAAGCCAGAAGGUGGUGGUGCACACUUUUAAUCCCAGCAUUCAGGGAGGCAGAGGCAGGUGGCCAGCCUGGAACUCCACAGAGCGAGUUCCAGGACAGCCAGUGCUACAUAAAGAAACCCUGUCUUGAAAAAAGAAAAAAGAAAGAAUAAAUAAGAACAAAAACCAAGCAAUCACCUCAGUUGUAUACUUAUCUGUCUGUAUAAUCUCUGUGAGGCAAAGGACUGGGUCUUGACCUAGCACAGUGCUUGGCCCAUAGGCACAAGGUAACGGCUGCUGAAUGGGUAGGAGACUGAAUGAGAACACAGGGAUCUGACAGAAGCAGAGGGGGAGGGGCGGGGAGCUUUUCAAGCAGGGGCUGGAGGAAGCAGCAUUCACAGAGGAAUCUGAAAUGAUUCAGCUCCAUCUACAGUACGUGCGGUGUGGGAUGUGGAGUGGAAGGUAGGCCAGGGCGAACCAGGACAGACUCAAAUGCUGAGUUAAUUCAGCUGGGCCAGCUCAGCCGCAGAUUUAAGGCAGUGCUUUGAGAAGACAGAGCUGACCAGGUGUGGAGGACCGGCGAGGGAAAACCAGCAGGCAGGGAAAUUAGUCAGGAGACUGUUUUGACAGCCCAGAUUUGAUGUGUAAAGGGUCUAGACAAGAGCGGUGAUGGGGGAAACGCAGGAAAGAAAUAAACCACCCAAUUCUGUUGGAUCGCUUCCUCCCGCAGCCUGGAA